ACUUAACACAUGCAAGUCGAACGCGCGUAGCAAUACGUGAGUGGCAGACGGGUGAGGAACACGUGGGAACAUACCCUUUGGUUCGGAAUAACUCGAAGGGAAACUUGAGCUAAUACCGGAUAAGUCGGGAACGAGAAAGAUUUAUCGCCGAAGGAGUGGCCCGCGUCUGAUUAGCUAGUUGGUGAGGUAAUGGCUCACCAAGGCGACGAUCAGUAGCUGGUCUGAGAGGAUGAUCAGCCACACUGGGACUGAGACACGGCCCAGACUCCUACGGGAGGCAGCAGUGGGGAAUAUUGGACAAUGGGCGCAAGCCUGAUCCAGCCAUGCCGCGUGAGUGAUGAAGGCCUUAGGGUUGUAAAGCUCUUUUGUCCGGGAAGAUAAUGACUGUACCGGAAGAAUAAGCCCCGGCUAACUUCGUG
rnacentral:rRNA from 1 species